rnacentral:rRNA from 1 species
AUUGAACGCUGGCGGCAUGCUUUACACAUGCAAGUCGAACGGUAACAGGGAGCUUGCUCCGCUGACGAGUGGCGAACGGGUGAGUAAUGCGUCGGAACGUGCCGAGUAGUGGGGGAUAACGCAUCGAAAGGUGUGCUAAUACCGCAUACGUACUGAGGUAGAAAGUGGGGGACCUUCGGGCCUCACGCUAUUCGAGCGGCCGACGUCUGAUUAGCUAGUUGGUGAGGUAAAGGCUCACCAAGGCGACGAUCAGUAGCGGGUCUGAGAGGAUGAUCCGCCACCCUGGGACUGAGACCCGGCCCAGGCUCCGACGGGAGGCAGCAGUGGGGAAUUUUGGACAAUGGGCGCAAGCCUGAUCCGGCCAUGCCGCGUGUCUGAAGAAGGCCUUCGGGUUGUAAAGGACUUUUGUCCGGGAGGAAAUCCCCAGCGUUAAUACCGCUGGGGGAUGACAGUACCUGAAGAAUAAGCACCGGCUAACUACGUGCCAGCCGCCGCCGUAACAC